UCCAAGGGCGGAGUACAGUCACGUGCACAAGGACCUUUCACUUGAUAACGGGCCACAUCAAUGGCAGUGGUCCCCUAGCAUCACACAGUCCGUAGGGCAGGCACGAGGCCUAGCAAUGAGGAUGCCAGUUAGGACAUUUGCGUCCCCCAUCCGAGGGCCUGGGUUUGACCCUUGCCUCGGGCUCCUGACUCCAGCUUUCUACCAGUGCAGGCCUUGGCAGGCAACAGGCGACGGCUCAGAGGAGGUGGCUGAGCACCAGGAAGCCGAGCGACCUGCCCAAGGACACACAAAGUUGCACAGCUAUCACCGCACCUGUACUAUGAGUCUGCAAUAAUCUCUCACCAAGGUUUUACAGCUGGUUGGUUCUUUCUAGUCUCAGACCACGUCAGCUACAGUGAGGUCCAGUUCUGCAUCACCUUCACACCUGUGUGCACUUCCGGAGGGCAGAUUCUACAUGAACUACGGCUGAUCACUACUCAUUUUUCCCCCCAAUCUUCACUACAUACAUACUUCCCAACUCACAAAGAAGAAAUCAGAAAAUUAGAAAUCUCUACAGCAGUGUGAUAUGUGCAACAUGUUGAAACGUAUUGCAAAGGCCAUAUUGUACCAAGUGCAGAGACUGCGGCCAUUAUCAGCUUCACCUGUUGGGAAAAAGGAGCACCAUGGCUGUACGGGCCACCAUCAAGGGUGCUUGUGUCCAGUGGCGACCAGUUAAGAGGGCGGUAUACAUCAGUGCUGUGAGCCACGGAUAAAGUUGUUCAUUUCUCGUAUUCACAUUUAAAAAGGAAGGUGGAAUGCAUUUUACUUACUCAUUUAAUCUAUCUGAACUAUUAUCACUGUAAUAUGUAG